rnacentral:rRNA from 1 species
AGUGAACGCUGGCGGCAGGCCUAAUACAUGCAAGUCGAACGGCAGCACAGCAGAGCUUGCUCUGUGGGUGGCGAGUGGCGGACGGGUGAGGAAUACGUGGGAAUCUGCCCAGUCGUGGGGAUAACGUAGGGAAACUUACGCUAAUACCGCAUGCGCCCUUCGGGGAAAGCCGGGGACCUUCGGGCCUGGCGCGAUUGGAUGAGCCCACGUCGGAUUAGCUAGUUGGCGGGGUAAAGGCCCACCAAGGCGACGAUCCGUAGCUGGUCUGAGAGGAUGAUCAGCCACACUGGAACUGAGACACGGUCCAGACUCCUACGGGAGGCAGCAGUAGGGAAUAUUGGACAAUGGGCGCAAGCCUGAUCCAGCCAUGCCGCGUGAGUGAAGAAGGCCCUCGGGUUGUAAAGCUCUUUUGUCCGGAAAGAAAAGCGCCGGGUUAAUACCCUGGUGUCCUGACGGUACCGGAAGAAUAAGCACCGGCGUAACUUCGUGCCAGCAGCCGCGGUAAU